AUGGAAGCAAUUGUCAACGCAAGAAAAAAAGCCAACAAGGUGAGGAAGAUGGCAAGGAACCAAGAUGCCGCGGCCGAGGAGAGGAGGUUGGCGGCCGAGGAGAGGAGGGUGACGGCCGAGGACAGGAAAGUGACAUUGGAGGAGAGGAAGGUGGGCAUGGAGGAGCGAUCUAGAUUGUUGGAAUGGGAGAAGCACUUGUUCUUCUUGGACACAUCUAUGCUCAAUGAUGCGCAAAAGGAGUAUGUCAAUCUUGCUUGUGAAGAAGUUCUGAUCCAAAAAAGAGCCAUGAUUCGCGCAAUGGGUGGCGGUGGCCUUGGCGGCAUGGGAGGCGUGGGAGGCAUGGUGGCAUUGGUGGCAUGA
rnacentral:rRNA from 1 species